CUUAACCUUUUUUGCCUCAAGUUACAUCUAUAACUGUUAAACUGGGAAACCAAAUAAUUUCCUAUGUUACAUUAAGAAAAUGUUGGAAAAUAAGUAUAUUUUAAGUUUUUUAGAAGGGAUACAAAUUAUCUUAUUUUAUCUGAAGUUUAAGAUACAUUCAAUUUUAUAAAUACUUUUCUGUUUUAGUUGUUAGCAUUUAGAAGGAAGAGAGAUUAUCUUCCCUGAACAUACUCCAUUUGAAAGCAGGGAGGAACAGCACAGGAAAAUUCAAGCACCUGUUUGAGAAUUAUCUAUGUGACAAUUGGAGGAACUCAGUUCCUCACACAGGCUAUAGUCAUUUUUGCUGAGUUGGGUUAAUUGCAAGGAUGUCUCUUAGCUAAAGCCCUUUUGCCAACAAAUACAGUUUGGUUAUGAUGAGUCUCUGGUCCUGACUCCAGAAAGGCCUGGCAAGGUGCAAGAAGAGAUGGGAGUUAAAAUUGAGGGUGUGAAUUCAGAUUAUUUCCUAAGUCUAGGGACAUUACAGGAGGUAGGUUUGAGAAUUUCCAUACCUCUUAGUUGCUUAAAACCUUUACAUGGGAGCAGAGACCAUCUCUUGAAAGGCUAAAACAGGCCAGGGAAUGGCAAUCUGCUGGCAGUCAACCAGUAGACUAAUAGAAUGUGGAAUACAGAAUCGAAUUUUGUAGCAUUAUUGGUUGUCCCUUAUGGUUAUAGAAUGUUCAAGGCAAGUUAGAGCUUUCAGGUAAUUUUAGCUAUUUUUGUUGAUAAGUUUUCUAAAUAUACAUGAUGUACUUUAGUAAUCUACAUUAAUCAUAAUUUAAUAUUUUCACUGUUCAGUUGUACAGUAGUAGUUUAUGGUAUGUAAAAAUAAAAGGGGACUUUCUGGAAGAUAACACGGAAACACAGUUCAGAAAAAAGUAGUGUUCAGUGGAUUUUCUUCAUACAAUCAUCUUUACUGUAAUCUGUGUUCCUUGACUUGUCAUCAACAUCGAGAGCGUUUUCUUUUAAUUUUCUCUCAUUAGCAUAAUGAGCCAUAUUUAUUUCUUGGUCAGUUGUACGCCAUUCUUCUGUUCUACUUGGAUUGUUCAUUUUAAGUGAAGGAGGCGUGGCCUUUAAUGUAUAAGCACAUGUUUUUUCAAAUAAUAGUGGGGUAGCUUACGCCAGAGCUUGUAAAUUGUUCAACAUUUUCGUAAGGUUAAACAAUAGUUAGAUAUAAAGUUAAACAGAUUCAGAAAAGAUUUGACUUUAUCAGAGGUCCAGGCAUAUCAAAACACUGAAAACUCUGUUAACACCUGUAUAGUGAACUUGUUUUAAAAAAACUUAGCUCAUUUUGAAUUCUGAAUAAUAUUUCUAUCUAAAAAACAGCCCAGAAGACAGUUCUAGUAUCACUUCAUAUAACCCUACAUGCUUCUUGGAUUCUCUGGAGUUGUUUAGCUCUCCUAAGGGGAACCCUGUGCUUCUGAGACAUUCUUUUACUUUGGGUAAAAAAUAAAUUGAAACCAAAGAAAAAAUCACUUCGGCUGUCACUGCGUAAGCUCUAAAGCAGCAAACAAAUGCUUUGAUUUGGUUUAAGUAAGAUGUCAUUCAAGGAGAGUGAGCUGCAUGUUCAAGUGGAUAGCAGGAACUCAAGGGCAAGUAGGUGUGGGUCAGGGGUCAGGUUUAGUGAGUCAGUGCUCAGUACCAGGUGGUCCAUACAAACAUUAAAGCUUGGAGUGACUAAGGGUUCAGGUAAGCAGUGGGGUUGCAAAGAUAGGCAGAUGGCUUAAAACUAUUAAGUCUGUCAGUAAGUCUAGGCCACUAGAUAAAUGAAACAGAUAGUCCUCAAGGAAACAGUGAUUCUGCUACCCAGUUUAACCAGCCUACUAAGAAAUUGUGGACUAAGUAGAUGAAGAAAGUUGGAACAUUUUGCUGGAGAAAGAAUGAGGGAGCAAGAGAGGGUAAAGUUUCUGACAGGACUCUUCUGGAUUCAGCACCUGCAAAAAGUCAUUCUGUUCCUUUUUGGUUUAAAUUCUCAUGCACUAGUCACAAGGGUAGAAAUUGGAAGGCAAGGCCAAAAUCAGUUAAUCUAUUUUGUAAGAUUAUUGUGGAUAUAGAGAAAAGUAGUUUGUAAAAAACUGUGAAAUUGGCUGUAGUGUUGUUUUUAACUGAAUAACUUAAGACUGAAAAGUUAAAGCCAACAAAAGUAACAUGUAGCUCAGUUAACUGAAUAAACAACAUAUUUUGCUUUUUUAGCAUGGGCUAGAGAAAGCAGUCUUUAAAACUUUUUUCUAAAAGAACACUCACUAGAUGUUGAUCCAUGUAUUCUAAUUCAGUUGUGAACCAUGUGCAGUGAUUUUUGACCUGUGUAAUUGAACACGAAAAUAAUUUAACCAGCUGCCUUUGCUGAGUCUUUUGUCAUGUCUCCUGAACACCUGGUAAAUUGUUUUGUUUUUACCUUCUUGAAACUUCAGUUCUGUAGACCUCAGUUUCCUCUUUCAGAGUUAAACUUUCCAAACCUUUGCCUUUUAAUAAAACAGGUUGGAUAGUAUCUACAGUUUACCUACCUGGUUCAGCUGUUCCUGUAUUCUGUACUACUAUUAGGUUACAUACCACACCCUUUUCAGUUACUUGAGGUUAUGUUUUGGUUCAGGGUUAGAACUGUGGCCCACCUACUUUUUGUAAAUAAAGCUUUACUGGAUAAAUAAAGGAUAGAUAACCAUGCCCAUUUGUGUAUAUAUGGGCAUACAUGGCUGCUUUACCUUACAACAACAGAUUUGAAUAGCAGCAGAGACAUAUGGCUGGCAAGCUUAGAAUACUGCUAUCUAGUCGUUUAAGACAAAGCUUGUUGACCACUGUUUUAGAUUAGUGAUUCUCUUAAGUACAGUGUAGACCAGCAUACUUAGCAUCACCUGGGAACUUGUUAGAAAUGCAAAUUCUUGGGCUCACCCAGAACUACUAAAUGAGAAAAUCUUGGGACUGGGUCCAACAAUCUGUUUUAAGAAGCCUUCCACAUGACACUGAUGCACAUUAAAAUUUGAAGAAACCCUGUUCUAGAUAAAUGUUUCCCAAAUGUUAGUCACCUAGAUCUAUAUCAAGCUUACUAUUUUUUGCCCCGUUUUCUGUUUUUAAAUAUUUUAUCCUUAUGUCAACUCACUUUCUAAAAAUUUAAUUUUAAAAUGAAAGUUUAUGCCACCAGAAAAACACAAUGAAAACAACAUGGGAUUAUCAGAAAUAACUAGACUUUGUUGUCAGUUACCCUAUGCUAAAAAUUAGAACUUGUUAGAUGUAUUAAACACAUAUUGAGCAUUAAAUGGAAACACUUUUCUUGACUUAAUCAUGAUAAAUAAUCACCACUAAGUGAUAGAGUGGUGUUUAAAAUGUCAUUUUGGUGAAAUCACAUACAUCUAAAAUCAUAUUUUGUACAAAUACCAUACUUUGGAAAAUACUGUUCUGAUUACUCAUGUGAAAGGAAAGCUGUUUGAACUGUAUAUACCUAAGUCCCUACGUAGAAAUUACUAACCAGAAAUACACACCUGUGCGAUGGAGAGAUACUGAAGUACCUAGAGCCGUCCAUCUAGAGUUUACAUUUCUAGGGUGAAAUUACCUCAUUUAGCUUGAUUUCUUAUGUGUCUCUUAGUGUUUGGUCCAUGGUGGCUAGCAGUUAUGCAGGAUUUCCACAGUGGGAUUGCGAGUAGGUGCCUGGCUCUGGGAAAAGCUGCAUUUCAAAGAUAACCCCUGGACUAGAGACUGGUAGAAAUGGCUUUCACUCUACAUUAUGGACAGAGGAACAGCAGGCCUUCACAGUUGUUGAUCACAUAGCAUGGUCAUCCACUCACAGCUUAAAAAAAUACAGGGAGCAUCGGAGAGAAUGGGUUCAAUGUAUCUAUGCCUGCCUACUUCAGUCUGCAAGGGAGUGUCAGAAAGGCCCCGCAUUCGCCGAGCCGUGAGUUAUCACUAACUUUUCAGAUGUGUUAAUGAAUGUGGAACAAAAACAGUUGUGUUUAAAAGGAAAAAAGGAC